UACGGGGGGAGCAAGCGUUGUUCGGAUUUACUGGGCGUAAAGGGCGCGUAGGCGGUCGUGACAAGUCACUUGUGAAAUCUCCGGGCUUAACUCGGAAAGGUCAACUGAUACUGUGCGACUAGAGUGCAGAAGGGGCAACUGGAAUUCUCGGUGUAGCGGUGAAAUGCGUAGAUAUCGAGAGGAACACCUGCGGCGAAGGCGGGUAGCUGGGCCGACACUGACGCUGAGGCGCGAAAGCUAGGGGAGCGAACGGG
rnacentral:rRNA from 1 species